rnacentral:tRNA from 1 species
GGGGCCAUAGCUCAGCUGGGAGAGCGCAACACUGGCAGUGUUGAGGUCAGCGGUUCGAGCCCGCUUGGCUCCACCA